UCUUGCCAGGCCGGCGAAGCCACUUCCGCCCUUCUUCCCAAUCGUUUCCGCUUCGCUGCUGUCGCCAUUUGGGGCUGCACCUGGGGGGUGGGGCUGCCUCUUCGCCCGCUGUUGACGGAGCGCUGGCCUGAGGGCUGCCGCACGGGGCUGCGGAGAGGGGAACGGCCCCGCGCGACCUUUCGCCGCGAAAGGAUCUGACUGUACUCCACAGAAGGCCUGCACAGCUCACAGAGGGAAGCUAAACAGCCUACUGAAGACUAGUGGUUCUCGGCCUUUAUUGAUCUACAGAUGCCUGCAUAUUUUCCCUUGGAAAUGUAAACACCUGCCUAAAAUGGAAGCCUCCAGUUUUUCAGUUACCUUACAGAUCUUUUAAAUGUUGUCCAGGGACCACAAGGUGAAGGUCAGUACUUGAGAGUGAUCAUUAUGCAUACCCAGCAGGUAGCCUACAAUUUCAAAGUCUCUCACUUAGUUCCCUUUUUUGCCAUAAAGGUACACAUUCAACUCACAUUCAACAGAGGUCCUUGCUCUGUAUUUCCUCUGCAGAAAAGACUAGUUCCCCACUCCCCACCCCCUCUCACUUCAUUCUCACAAACAUCAGUUGAUCUGGAGCACUUUCCCCAUGCGUGGUUAAUCAGCCUUGCAUAUGAAAGAGGAUGCCAGAUGCCCCAAACUAUAGCUGUGUCCACAAUCCAAAAACAUACCCUAAUUCAGCAGCAAAACUAGGCAUAGACUCUAGUUCUUUGGUGUCAUGAUUUCUUGCAGUUUUUUUUUUUUUCCAUUCAUUACAUAGACACUACAUGAAAUCGAAAUGUUUGUUGGACCAAGUCACUACAUCUCUUGAGUACUUUGGUGUUCCACUAUACAGAAACAAGAAACCAUGCACACAAAUUUAAUCUGUUGUACCUGAAAUGACGAUUGGACAGGUACCUAUCAUGUAGUUAGCGAAAUGUACAAAAAAAUUUCAUUCUAUGUUCAGAACUGUACUAGUAAACUUGGGCAGCUUUCGGGUACAUUACCUGCAAAAUCCUAGACAAGAUAUAUAUCCUUUUGUUGAUAUAAAGAUGAUAAAAUAAUUGAUAAAAAUAUAGAAGACAAGCAGAAUCUCCUAGUUAUAUUCUAUAUUAUGAAGAAAAUUGGAUGAUGUAGACAAAUCUAUGAAGUAAUGAAUUAUUACCUAUUGCCAAUGAUAUUUAUGAAGACGUUUAGUUCCACCCAUAAAACAUCCUAGAAUUUGCAUAGCUAUAAACUCACAAUCAAGAAUUUUGAAAGAAUUAUCUGGCAAGCAAAUGGAAACAACGGCCUUUCCUUUCAAAACAACUUUAGAGUUUGAAUGUGUUCCAGAAAACCAGUAAAUACUUUCAUUUUAGAAGUAUUUAAAUAACAGGGAUCAUCUAGAUUGCUUAGAAGGCUGUUGACCUAAUGCUGACUUGGCAAAAUCAAAGUGUAAUCUAUUUGGGUUACACUCAGCUAAGAAAGGAAACAAUAGUAUUUGAUUUAAUUGAAUGAAAAAGAUCUCAUUAAAAGAAUUACAUAUUCUUUUGUGGCAAUGUAAGUUUGGUACUUCAAGAUAAUGGUCCAGGACUAAUAUAGCAAGACUUGCAUCGAAGUACGACACAGCCUGGUCCUUUUGUAAAGGAAAAGAAAGGCAAUAGGUAAGUGCUACAGGAGGGAGCCAAGCCUUACUGGGAGACACCUAAACCAGCUCAAUUAAAUUCAGUUGUUUGGAAAGAUGAAUACAGCAGCUUGAUCACGGGCCUGUAACUCAUUAGAAAAGAUUUUUGACAGCAGAAGACUUUAAUGUACUGAACAAAAACCAUAAUAAGACCUUAUGAGAAAGAAAAAAAAAAAAAAAAA